rnacentral:rRNA from 2 species
GGGAUUGCCUCAGUAACGGCGAGUGAAGCGGCAACAGCUCAAAUUUGAAAUCUGGCUCCUUCGGGGUCCGAAUUGUAAUUUGUAGAGAGUGCUUCGGGCGAGAUCUCAGUCUAAGUCCAUUGGAACAUGGUGUCAUAGAGGGUGAGAAUCCCGUAUGCGACCGUGGCUCGAGCCCAUGUGAAGCCUCUUCGACGAGUCGAGUUGUUUGGGAAUGCAGCUCAAAAUGGGUGGUAAAUUUCAUCUAAAGCUAAAUACUGGCUGGAGACCGAUAGCGCACAAGUAGAGUGAUCGAAAGAUGAAAAGCACUUUGGAAAGAGAGUCAAACAGUACGUGAAAUUGUUGAAAGGGAAGCGCUUGCAACCAGACCUGCCCGUAGGCGAUCAGCCGCUGUUCUCAGCGGUGUACUCGCUCUGCGAUCAGGCCAGCAUCGGUUUCGGCGGUCGGAUAAAGACUUUGGGAAUGUAGCUUCCCUUCGGGGAAGUCUUAUAGCCCUCGGUGUAAUGCGGCCAGCCGGGACCGAGGACCGCGCUUCGGCUAGGAUGCUGGCGUAAUGGUUGUAAGCGACCCGUCUUGAAACACGGACCAAGGAGUCUAACAUCUAUGCGAGUGUUUGGGUGUCAAACCCAUACGCGGAAUGAAAGUGAACGGAGGUGAGAACCCUUAAGGGCGCAUCAUCGACCGAUCCAGAUGUCUUCGGAUGGAUUUGAGUAUGAGCAUAGCUGUUGGGACCCGAAAGAUGGUGAACUAUGCCUGAAUAGGGUGAAGCCAGAGGAAACUCUGGUGGAGGCUCGCAGCGGUUCUGACGUGCAAAUCGAUCGUCAAAUUUGGGUAUAGGGGCGAAAGACUAAUCGAA